GGGAGAGCCCUCGAGCAGACAGAGAAGGUCCAGCGUGACGGUUGGCGGAAGCGAUGAUAAGAGGCAGGAAACACAGCUGGAGGUCAGAAGUCUGAAAAUGAGACGCAUGGGGCUAAAAUCAAGGUGUUGACAGAGCCGAGCUCCUUCUGGGAAGAAUUUUGCCUUUUUUAGCCUCAAGAGGCUCCCUAUUCCUGGACAGGCGGUCCCCUUCUGGCAACGACGAGUCUCCUGUGGUCACAUUGGGCCCUCCCGGAUAAUCCAGGACAAUCUCCCCAUCUCGAGAUCCUUAACUUAAGCACAUCUGCAAAGUUCCUUUUUCCCCGUGAACUCAUCUAUUCACAGAUUCCAGGAAUUACAAUGUGGACGUUUCUGGGGACCAUUAUUCUGCCUACCACACAUGCACCUCUUUCCAGCCAUCUUUUUUUCUAUCUAGUGUCACCGUAUUUAAAUACAUCCUAAGUCAGAAUGAUUUGCAAAUCCUCCCCCCUCUUCCA